UGUGGCCCCAGUGAAAGUGCAGUGAACUCUUACUUGUCCUCUUGUGAGAAAGUCAACCUGGGCAGCUGGAGAUACAAUCGCAGAAAUCAGCUCCCUCCCUUCCACCCGGUUUGUUCACACUUACCACAGGCUGUGGAGACACCUUAACUAAGAAAUCACACCCAUUCUUCCAAGCAAGAAAAAUACCUGUUCCAGCUAUCAGGCUGCCAAGAUUUACAACUCUCAACACCGAGACACCUGCGUUUCUCCAAAGCCCUGGUUGGAGACUAAUUUCCUCACGCAUUACAGCUCAUUUCGACUGGGUAUGCCUCUGACUUCAUGAAUACAGAUACUAGGCCUGUGGAGCAGCAGUCAUCUUAUAAACAUGAGGACUAAAGAUUUUUACUAGAGACAGCAGAGAAAGAAGAGGAAAGGAGUCAGAGUCCUAUGUGGCAAUGUCGAGCCACUAGACCUCUGCUGGAUGGCCCAUCUUGUCAUGGCAGACAAAUAAACUUUUCUGUGUUUAAACUAUA